AUUCAAACCACCAGGAAUCUUGUUAAAAUGCAGAUUCUAAUUGAGUAGAUCUGGGGUCAGAAAGCUUCUUAGGAAGCUCCCAAAUGUUACUACUGAGUCU
rnacentral:miRNA from 1 species